rnacentral:rRNA from 1 species
UACCUUACUACUUGGGAUAACCGUAGUAAUUCUAGAGCUAAUACAUGCAUCAAGUCCCGACUGCCUGCGCGGAAGGGAAGUCUUUAUUAGAUCGAAACCAUUGCAGGGGCAACUCUGGUAUUGUGGUGAUUCAUAAUAACUGUGCGAAUCGCAUGGCCUCGUGCCGGCAAUAAAUCAUUCAAGUUUCUGCCCUAUCAGCUUUCGAUGGUAGGGUAUUGGCCUACCAUGGCGUUAACAGGUAACGGAGAAUUAGGGUUCGAUUCCGGAGAGGGAGCCUGAGAAACGGCUACCACAUCCAAGGAAGGCAGCAGGCGCGCAAGUUACCCAAUCCUGACACAAUGAGGUAGUGACAAUAAAUAACAAUGCCGGGCUUUUUUUAAGUCUGGCAAUUGGAAUGAGAACAAUUUAAUUCCCUUAAUGAGGAUCAAUUGGAGGGCAAAUCUGGUGCCAGCAGCCGCGGUAAUUCCAGCUCCAAUAGCGUAUAUUAAAGUUGUUGCAGUUAAAAAGCUCGUAGUUGGAUUUUUAGUGGGAGUGAUCGGUCCGCCCCGUUAGGGGUGUGCACUAGUGUCGUCUCUUGCCAUCUAUGGGGAGAGCUAAUCUGGCAUUAGGUUGUCGGGUCAGGGAUCCCCAUCCUUUACUGUGAAAAAACAUUAUAGUGU